rnacentral:rRNA from 1 species
AUACGUAGGGGGCGAGCGUUGUCCGGAAUGAUUGGGCGUAAAGGGUGCGUAGGCGGCCCGGUAAGUCUGGAGUGAAAGUCCUGUUUUUAAGAUGGGAAUUGCUUUGGAUACUGUCGGGCUUGAGUGCAGGAGAGGUAAGUGGACUUCCCAGUGUAGCGGAGACAUGCGUAGAGAUUGGGAGGAACACCAGUGGCGAAGGCGACUUACUGGACUGUAACUGACGCUGAGGCGCGAAAGUGUGGGGAGCAAACAGGAUUAGAUACCCUGGUAGUCCACACUGUAAACGAUGAAUGCUAGGUGUAGGGGGUAUCGACCCCUUCUGUGCCGCAGUCAACACAAUAAGCAUUCCGCCUGGGGAGUACGGCCGCAAGGUUGAAACUCAAAUGAAUUGACGGGG